CCACUUGCGGUAGUUCUACGAGGAGGGGUAGCCCGUCAAGAAGAUCUAUCAAGAACGCAGAAGAAGAAAACCAAAAACGUUCAAAGCCUGGAUGUUUGGCGGCCAUAGCUCGUGCUUACCGCCCAGGGAGCCUGUUAGGGCAAGGCCACUUAGUCAGGAGUCAGGACUUGGGAGUUUGCAAAAUGUACAGGAAUAAAUAUCAACUGUUACUGUAUGCUGCUCAGCUCUUCAUCCUGCUAAUCUAAGAUCAGCCCUCUGUGAAGGAAUGUGCUUCAAAGGCAAACAGAGAUGCCCUACUUUAAUUGCAGGAGGCGGAACUGAGAACGGUGAGUAUUAGCCAGUCAUCUUCUUAUCUUUGGUGUUUGCAAUCUGAGCGCUUCUCUAAAAAAAAAAAAAAAAAAAUCAGACUUGUCUAGUUGUAAGUAGGUUGCAGAAAACAAUUUUAACCACAAAGUUAUAAAUUGAACCCUAUCUUCAAGGAAGAUGCUCUCUGCUUUCAUUCGACAUUCGUGUCGUAACUUGUAAGAUCACUAUGAAUCGUUGUUCUCAAAAUUAGUUCAAUGUUACUGGUAGUGGCUUAAAGUGCGAAAUUAUGGCAGGACUAAUUAAAUAAAGGUGGUAAAUGUAAUUGAAACUCAGAAAAAAAGUUUAGGUUGCAAUUUUUCUAGCUGUUAAUUUGAAUCCUAAACAAUCAAAUGUGGAAGUUCAGUGUUUUAGAGGCUUAAUGUGAUAUUCGUCCAUGUUGUCAUAGGCUUACCUCUUAAUUGCCAGUUUACUGAAUCGUGUAUGUUCUUUUUGUUUUUGCCCUUGUACAUUGCCCUCUCUGAUACUGUUCUCGGGCUCUGGAUCUUGUGAUUUUCGGGUGACUGGCUGUUUAGAAUCCUUUCUUGUUAUUUUUGUUGACAUUUCUACUUGAAAUUGGAGCACGUUUAGAACUUGCGAUUUUUAAGAUAAAAAGGGCGAUCCUGAUCAGAAUCCUAAGCAAUAAAUCUCUCGAUUACACAAUUUCGUGCGGCCAAUUUAAGAUCAAUUGAAAAGCAUUCUUGGAAAUUGCUGCUACAAGACUACUUUCUUCUUGUUGUUGUUUAGACGAAUGUAGCUAGUUCUGUACCUGGAAAAUCAACUGACAUAGAGCUAAAUUUCGACCAUCUUAUUGUUAGGAUUUUGAAAGCAAGACUUACAGCUCCCAGUCAAUAUAAUGUCCUUCACCAUUGUAUAGAAAUUUCUUUGGCAAAUGUCUCCCUACUAAGACCUGAUUGAUUGGGGAAACCUUAAGGGAACUAUGUGUACUAAAAGGUUAACAACUGGUUCCUGGGAUGCCAAGAAGCCACAUUUUCUGCUAGUAUAUCAUGAGGAAGCGUGUCCUGAGUAAUUGAGAUAGUCAUUUGUAGGGGUAAUGCACCUUGACAGCCUAGAAUGAUUAGCUUCCUUGUCAUCCAGAAUUGUCCCAGGGACAGGGCCGUCACAUGCGAAUAAUUAGGAGAAGUCCCUUGACCCAUUUGAGAUUAGUUCAAUUUUCUUGGAUUGACCCCUUUAAUUGUCAUCAAUUGGCUGCAAUGUUGUUAAACUCGGACAGAAUAGCGACUCAACUAAACUACUCGGCCAAGGAUCAACUGAUUGGAUCGGUCAGACUGUUUUCAAAAACCCGCCAACGUUAGCAUGAUGUUAUAAUUAUUUUAUAUUUUUGUAAGAUUCAGAAAUAUUGAAAUUAAGUUCUUGGUUAUAUUUGGCCAAUCAUGAAAAAUG